UUUUUUUUUUUUUUGGGUUAGGUGAGGGGCUGUGUGAGUGACUGGGUUCAUAAACAUACUGGAGAGAAGAAAAGAGAGAGAGAGAGAGAGAGAGAGAGAGAGAGAGAGAGAGAGAGAGAGAGAGAGAGAGAGAGAGAGAUAGAGAGAGAGAGAGAGAGAGAGAGAGAGAGAGAGAGA